rnacentral:misc_RNA from 1 species
GAUGAAGAACGCAGCGAAAUGCGAUAAGUAGUGUGAAUUGCAGAAUUCAGUGAAUCAUCGAAUCUUUGAACGCACAUUGCGCCCCUUGGUAUCUCGAGGGGCAUGCCUGUUCGAGCGUCAUUUCACCACUCAAGCCUGGCUUGGUGUUGGGCGACGUCCUCUUUGGGGACGCGCCUCGAAACGCUCGGCGGCGUGGCACCGGCUUUAAGCGUAGCAGAAUCUUUCGCUUUGGAAGUCGGGGCCCCGUCUGCCGGAAGACCUGCUCGCAAGGUUGACCUCGGAUCAGGCAGGGAUACCCGCUGAACUUAAGCAUAUCAAUAAGCGGAGGA